CUACGGGAGUCAGCAGUGGGGAAUAUUGGACAAUGGGCGAAAGCCUGAUCCAGCCAUGCCGCGUGUGUGAAGAAGGCCUUCGGGUUGUGAAGCACUUUCAGUGGGGAAGAAAGCCUUGGGGCUAAUACCCUCGAGGAAGGACAUCACCCACAGAAGAAGCACCGGCUAACUCCGUGCCAGCAGCCGCGGUAAUACGGAGGGUGCGAGCGUUAAUCGGAAUUACUGGGCGUAAAGCGCGCGUAGGCGGUCUGAUAAGCCGGUUGUGAAAGCCCCGGGCUCAACCUGGGAACGGCAUCCGGAACUGUCAGGCUAGAGUGCAGGAGAGGAAGGUAGAAUUCCCGGUGUAGCGGUGAAAUGCGUAGAGAUCGGGAGGAAUACCAGUGGCGAAGGCGGCCUUCUGGACUGACACUGACGCUGAGGUGCGAAAGCGUGGGUAGCAAACAGGAUUAGAUACCCUAGUAGUC
rnacentral:rRNA from 1 species